rnacentral:misc_RNA from 1 species
CUAGAUAACCAACUUGAGCAUAUCAACUCAUGAAUAGAUUUAUGGCACAGUAUGUACUGGAAAUUGAAUUUGAUUUGCGAAAUAUCUCCAUUUCCUGAAUGAUGAAACCUCACAUCAUUGCUUUAACAUGAAGCUAAUUGGCAACGCAGAAUAUAAGAGGCUUGUGGUUCAGAGUUAGACCUCUUCUAUAUUUAUGGUUUGAUUGAAUGUUAUAAUUGUUUAUUUAAUACUCAGAGUAAAUCCUUAACUGUGUGGUUACAUGUUGAAGUGAAUGAGCAAG